GACGUAGGGCGCGAGCGUUGUCCGGAUUUAUUGGGCGUAAAGAGCUCGUAGGCGGCUUGUCGCGUCGACUGUGAAAACCCGCGGCUCAACUGCGGGCCUGCAGCCGAUACGGGCAGGCUAGAGUUCGGUAGGGGAGACUGGAAUUCCUGGUGUAGCGGUGAAAUGCGCAGAUAUCAGGAAGAACACCCGUGGCUAAGGCGGCUCUCUAGUACGGUACUGACGCUGAGACGCGAAAGCGUGGGGAGCGAACAGG
rnacentral:rRNA from 1 species